ACUUGUAUGUUUCUGUGACUUGUAUGUUUGUGUGUGACUUGUAUGUUUCUGUGACUUGUAUGUUUCUUGGUCAGUGUAUGUGAUGUAGUGGUCAGUCUAUGAGGUCAGUGUGAUGUAGUGGUCAGUCUAUGAGGUCAGUGUGAUGUAGUGGUCAGUCUAUGUCAGUGUAUGUGAUGUAGUGGUCAGUCUAUGAGGUCAGUGUAUGUGAUGUAGUGGUCAGUCUAUGUAGGAGGUCAGUGUAUGUGAUGUAGUGGUCAGUCUAUGUAUGAGGUCAGUGUGUGUGAUGUAGUGGUCAGUCUAUGUAGGAGGUCAGUGUAUGUGAUGUAGUGGUCAGUCUAUGUAUGAGGUCAGUGUGUGUGAUGUAGUGGUCAGUCUAUGUAGGAGGUCAGUGUAUGUGAUGUAGUGGUCAGUCUAUGUAGGAGGUCAGUGUAUGUGAUGUAGUGGUCAGUCUAUGUAGGAGGUCAGUGUAUGUAUGAGGUCAGUGUAUGUGAUGUAGUGGUCAGUCUAUGUAGGAGGUCAGUGUAUGUGAUGUAGUGGUCAGUGUAUGUAGGAGGUCAGUGUAUGUGAUGUAGUGGUCAGUCUAUGUAGGAGGUCAGUGUAUGUAUGAGGUCAGUGUAUGUGAUGUAGUGGUCAGUCUAUGUAGGAGGUCAGUGUAUGUGAUGUAGUGGUCAGUCUAUGUAGGAGGUCAGUGUAUGUGAUGUAGUGGUCAGUCUAUGUAGGAGGUCAGUGUAUGUAUGAGGUCAGUGUAUGUGAUGUAGUGGUCAGUCUAUGUAGGAGGUCAGUGUAUGUAUGAGGUCAGUGUAUGUGAUGUAGUGGUCAGUCUAUGUAGGAGGUCAGUGUAUGUAUGAGGUCAGUGUAUGUGAUGUAGUGGUCAGUCUAUCAUGUAUGUAUGACAGAUGUUUUUCCUUUGUUGUUUUGAACAUGGUUGAUAUGCUGAGCUAGGGGUCCUUUGCUUCCUAGUAUUUCUUCCUGUUGGUGUUUUGUUGAGAGAACAUUGGCAGAAUGUACAGGAGUACAAAUCUCUUCUGGCUUUGGGUGGGGAAAAGGUAAAGUAAUGUUGGGUCUAUUUGCUGUAUAAUAUUGUGUGUGUUUGUGAGAGAGAGAGAGAGAGAGAAGGGGGGGGGGGGGGGGAGGGUGUACCUUCCUCCAUUUGUUCAUGGAAAUGAUGCUCUUGUCUCUCCCCUGGACGUUUCCCAUUGUUGCAGGAAAAGAAAAAGAAAAGUUCCAUCUUCAAGUGACAGUUUUGUCUCUUAUGGAAAAGUUCCAUCUUCAAGUGACAGUUUUGUCUCUUAUGGAAAAGUUCCAUCUUCAAAUGACAGUUUUGUCUCUUAUGGAAAAGUUCCAUCUUCAAGUGACAGUUUUGUCUCCUCAUUUUGCACAGCUCUCAGUUUGGGAAAGCUUGAGAAUAUAUCGAGGACAUAAGAUCAUCUCUUUUCUUAGGGACAGGCAGUGUGGCUGUUACUUUUAUGGGGGGGAGGGGGGGGACACACGUAUCCACACGUCUCCACAUCCACACGUCUUGUCAAGGGAAAGAUGUCGGGAAGGAAAAGAUGCAGGGUCCUCGGUGUAUACUUGCUGGCCCGUCCACUUGAACACGCCGUUGGUCAUCUUUUCACCAUGUUCCUGGGGGGGAUUUUUCACUUUUGAUUGUUUCAAACUUUGUGAGCAAUGGUCAGUAAUU
rnacentral:lncRNA from 1 species